UUAGAACUAAACAUUUCUACCUAACUUCAAAGAGAGGGUGGAUAGAUGUAAUCUUUCAAGUCAUAUGGCUAAUAAAUAAGGCUAAGUCACCGAAAGAAGGGUUAUGCUCAAAGUGGUUAGCAAAUGACUUUUCCUAUUACUACAAGGUGUUUCCAAAAAAGGACCAGAGUUUAUAGCAAACAACUACCUUUGUGUGUGUAAAUCAAAC
rnacentral:lncRNA from 1 species